rnacentral:rRNA from 1 species
GCAGUUAAAAAGCUCGUAGUUGAACUUCAUGAGCAGUAGGUAGCUUACUACCUGCUCUCUACCAGUCUUUCGACUGUUACUGUGAGAAAAUUAGAGUGUUUCAAGCAGGCUAUUGCAGGAAUACAUUAGCAUGGAAUAACGAAUGUACCUACAAUUUGGUUAAUUGUAGAUUACUAUUAAUAGGGACAGUUGGGGGCAUUAGUAUUUAAUUGUCAGAGGUGAUAUUCUUGGAUUUGUUAAAGACUAACGUAUGCGAAAGCAUUUGCCAAGGAUGUUUUCAUUAAUCAAGAACGAAAGAUAGGGGAUCAAAGACGAUCAGAUACCGUCGUAGUCCUAUCUAUAAACUAUGCCGACUAGGGAUUGGAAUGAUCUGCAUCAUUUCAGUACCUUAUGAGAAAUCAAAGUCUUUGGGUUCUGGG